CCUGAUCGUAAAUCCAUGGCGAUGAAAAAGUUAGUUUCGCUUAAGAAUUUGGAGGUCGAAAUACGUGAUGCAGAAAAGGAUCAGAAGGAUCUGAGUGUUUCUAACAUCGCCAUUAAAGCUCGUUUGGCGCAAAUAGAAGCAGAUUUGGAAGAUAACGAGCAGAAGAUGAAGGAUAACAGGAACCGGAAAAGGUUUUUGCUCGAGAAGCGCCGAGAAGUACGAAAAUCUCUUGAAAAAGAGACGAUCGCUAUGAAAGAGGCGUGGCAGGUGGAGUUCCUUUCGAGAGAGCGCAGCAAUUUCAAACCCAAAGUUGUCACGGAUGUUUAUUCACUGUAUAAAUUGGCCAAGAAGAGAAAAUUGCCGUGCGAUUUCGUAGAAGACGAAGACAAAAUUUAGGCGAUGCUGCAGCAUUGGAGCCCUAAUUUGAUUUGCAGCCAACUACAAAUUGUUUUGUUUAUUUUCUUGUUUCUUUGAGAUUUUUAUUUGCUUUUAGUUUUUGGUCUUCCUCCAAAUUAAAACUUGGGCCACUGUGAACUAAAUUGUUGUUGGGCCAAUUUAUUUAAGUUGUGGGCUGGUUAUAAUGAAUUAAUGUUCUCGUGA